GAACGGGACUUUUCGGAGUUCAGUGGCGGACGGGUGAGUAACGCGUGAGAAUCUGGCUUCAGGUUCGGGACAACCACUGGAAACGGUGGCUAACACCGGAUGUGCCGAGAGGUAAAAAAUUAAUUGCCUGAAGAUGAGCUCGCGUUUGAUUAGCUAGUUGGUAGGGUAAGAGCCUACCAAGGCGUCGAUCAGUAAAUGGUUUGAGAGGAUGACCAGUCACACUGGGACUGAGACACGGCCCAGACUCCUACGGGAGGCAGCAGUGGGGAAUUUUCCGCAAUGGGCGAAAGCCUGACGGAGCAAUACCGCGUGAGGGAGGAAGGCUCUUGGGUUGUAAACCUCUUUUCUCAGGGAAGAAGUA
rnacentral:rRNA from 1 species